AUCCCAUGAUGAGGACUCUUACGAAGUAACUCCUUGAACCUCUCCCAAGCCUUAUACAAAGACUCGUCAUCCAAUUGUUGGAAAGUUAUGAUCUUGUUCCUCAACUU
rfam:Gossypium arboreum cultivar AKA8401 contig_40584_5, whole genome shotgun sequence.